rnacentral:rRNA from 1 species
UACGAGGGGAGCAAGCGUUGUUCGGAUUUACUGGGCGUAAAGGGCGCGUAGGCGGUCGUGACAAGUCACUUGUGAAAUCUCCGGGCUUAACUCGGAACGGUCAAGUGAUACUGUCGGACUAGAGUACAGAAGGGGCAACUGGAAUUCUCGGUGUAGCGGUGAAAUGCGUAGAUAUCGAGAGGAACACCUGCGGCGAAGGCGGGUUGCUGGGCUGAUACUGACGCUGAUGCGCGAAAGCCAGGGAGCGAACGGG